rnacentral:rRNA from 1 species
GGCGGACGGGUGAGUAACACGUGGGUAAUCUGCCUUUCAGCGGGGGAUAACUGUCCGAAAGGAUAGCUAAUACCGCAUACGUCGUCGAGGGUUUCGAUUCUUGACGGGAAAGCCGGCCUCUCCAUGGAAGCUGGCACUGAAAGAGGAGCCUGCGCCCCAUCAGCUAGUUGGUAGGGUAAUGGCCUACCAAGGCUUAGACGGGUAGCUGGUCUGAGAGGAUGAUCAGCCACACUGGGACUGAGACACGGCCCAGACUCCUACGGGAGGCAGCAGUGGGGAAUAUUGGGCAAUGGGCGCAAGCCUGACCCAGCCACGCCGCGUGAGUGAUGAAGGCCUUCGGGUCGUAAAGCUCUGUGGGGAGGGACGAAAAAACGUUGGCCAAUAUCCAACGGACUGACGGUACCUCCUUAGCAAGCACCGGCUAACUCCGUGCCAGCCGCCGC